rnacentral:misc_RNA from 1 species
GAUGAAGAACGGCAGCGAAAUGCGAUAAGUAAUGUGAAUUGCAGAAUUCAGUGAAUCAUCGAAUCUUUGAACGCACAUUGCGCCCGCCAGUAUUCUGGCGGGCAUGCCUGUCUGAGCGUCAUUUCAACCCUCAUGCCCCUAGGGCGUGGUGUUGGGGAUCGGCCAAAGCCCGCGAGGGACGGCCGGCCCCUAAAUCUAGUGGCGGACCCGUCGUGGCCUCCUCUGCGAAGUAGUGAUAUUCCGCAUCGGAGAGCGAUGAGCCCCUGCCGUUAAACCCCCAACUUUCCAAGGUUGACCUCAGAUCAGGUAGGAAUACCCGCUGAACUUAAGCAUAUCAAUAAGCGGAGGA